rnacentral:rRNA from 1 species
GAUGAACGCUAGCUACAGGCUUAACACAUGCAAGUCGAGGGGCAUCAGGAAGAAAGCUUGCUUUCUUUGCUGGCGACCGGCGCACGGGUGAGUAACACGUAUCCAACCUGCCCUUUACUCGGGGAUAGCCUUUCGAAAGAAAGAUUAAUACCCGAUAGCAUAAUGAUUCCGCAUGGUUUCAUUAUUAAAGGAUUCCGGUAAAGGAUGGGGAUGCGUUCCAUUAGGUUGUUGGUGAGGUAACGGCUCACCAAGCCUUCGAUGGAUAGGGGUUCUGAGAGGAAGGUCCCCCACAUUGGAACUGAGACACGGUCCAAACUCCUACGGGAGGCAGCAGUGAGGAAUAUUGGUCAAUGGGGCGCUAGCCUGAACCAGCCAAGUAGCGUGAAGGAUGAAGGCUCUAUGGGUCGUAAACUUCUUUUGUCGGAGAGUAAAGUACGCUACGUGUAGUGUAUUGCAAGUAUCCGAAGAAAAAGCAUCGGCUAACUCCGUGUCAGCAGCCGCGGU